rnacentral:lncRNA from 1 species
GUGUGUGUGUGUGUGUGUGUCGGCCUGUCUACGCACUACACGAAGGCUUAGUUGGUCUUCUUUCGUCUAGUGGGCGCACUCAGGUGCGUCACCAUUCUGCCGUUUCCCUCGCCCUUGUCCUGUCCGAAAGAACCGUCCGCAAGCUGCCCUGUGGUCGCGCUCACCAGCUCUUCGAGCCGCAGCUAACCCAUCUUCUUGUUUUUGUGUCUUUAACUAGGACUUCUAUUUGGAACUGAGUCCGACAGCUCAGGACUGGCUGCUCAAACUCCACAAUUUAAUGAAAAAUCUCAGAUGAUGACUCAGAAAACCUCUAAUGAUCUGAGGAAUAUAUUAAGGGAUUCCAGAGUCAAAGGCUGAUCAUGGAGGGCAUUGAUGAGGGAAGACUUCAGGUGGCUGGAGACCAGAAGAAAGGAACACUGGAAGAAUGAAAACGGUUGUGAUGCACUGCAGUGUGAAAAUAUGCCCUUGAGCCUUAAAGAAAGGGGCUUAAGGCCGGGCGCGGUGGCUCACGCCUGUACUCCCAGCACACAGAUCACGAGGUCAAGAGAUUUGAGACCAUCCUGGCCAACACGGUGAAACCCCGUCUCUACUAAAAAUACAAAAAAUUAUGUGGGAGUGGUGGCGCACGCCUGUAGUCCCAGCUACUCGGGAGGCUGAGGCAGGAGAAUCGCUGGAACCCAGGAGGCGGAGGAGGUUACAGUGAGCCGAGAUCGCGCCACUGUACUCCAGCCUGGCGACAGAGCGAGACUCCGUCUCAAAAAAAAAAAAAAAAAGAAAAAGAAAAGAAAGGCUACUUUCAUCGCUACUGCACAUCCUCUAAGUAGGUUAAGGAAGAUUUACUUAGUAGAGCCUCAAGAUGGAUUUAAGUUAUGGAUAAGAAUUAUUUAUAACUAGGAUAUCAUUCAGUAUUAUAAGUGUCUGCAGUUACUUAAGGAUGCUAGAAACAGUCUAGAAGUUUCAGUCUUCUCUCUGAAGUAUACUUUCAAGUAGUAACUGAUUUAGCAAGCUCUUACACAAUUAGAUCAAACGUGCGCUUCAGUCUUCUGCCUUUCUGCACUGCCACACAUUCCUGUCUAGUGGAUUUUUUUUUUUAGGCGUGGAUUUUUAAGAAGUGAGAUUUUGUUGUAGUUAUUUAGCCAGUGUCUUAUUUUAGUGUUUUCUGGUUUUCCACUGUUUGUAGCUUGUUUUAAAUUGAAAUCUAAUUUCCUUUUAUAUCUGGACUGAGGACCCAUGGCUAUUUGUAAAAUGGAUUAAAUUUAGGUGUUUUAAUCAAGUGUAGGAAUGAUAAACUUGAAUCCAGGGCAGGCCCGAACUUUUUUUUUUUUCAUAUUCCCUUUGUUACUCCACAAACAACCAGAGCUGUCACGUGUAAAAAUGGUGAUCCUAUAAUAAUUCUUAUAUUUACCACACUCUUAGUUGCAUAAUCAGCUCGCUUACAUAAUCUAGAAAAAUAUAAUAGAAAGUUCACUUCAAGCAAAACAAUGGAAUUGACUGUAAAUGGGUAUGCAAAAACUUGAGUUAGAUAAAAUAUCUUUAUGACAAAGAAUGGUGAGAUUGACUCUAAUAAAAUAUGUUCUUUUAAAAAAUCA